UGACAGUGCCGUAAUCAGAUGAUUCGGCUACUGAAUUGAGAACGAUGAAAGAAUGUUAUCGAAUAUCUAUUGGAGGGCAAGUCUGGUGCCAGCAGCCGCGGUAAUUCCAGCUCGAAGAGCGUCUGUUAAUGUUGCUGCGCUUGAAACGCUCGUCGUUGAAUCUCUGGCAAUUGCCUACGGACACUUCUAUUGUGGUACCGUAGGAAAGUGCCUUUUUGUAUCUAUUCGUCGUUGAUUCACUUAAUUGUGUGUCACGUUCGAGAGCCACUUUCACUUUGGAGAAAUCAGUGUGCUCAUAACAGGCUUAUGCCUGCAUAUAACUGCAUGGGAUGAUGAAACUGGGCCUUUGACUCGUUUCGUUGGUUUACGAUUGCAAAGGCCAUGAUUAAUCGGGACAGACGGGGGCAUUCGUAUUGCGUCGAUAGAAGUGAAAUUCGGUGACCGACGUAAGACGAACAAUCGCGAAAGCAUUUGCCAAGAAUGUUUUCAUUAAUCAAGAACGAAAGUUAGAGUAUCGAAGACGAUUAGAUACCGUCCUAGUUCUAACUGUAAACGAUGCCAACCAGGGUUUCGUCAUAGCUUAUAUGCUUGACGAGCACCCUCCGGGAAACCUGAGUAAUCGGGUUCCGGGGGGAGUAUGGUUGCAGAAUCGAAACUUAAAGGAAUUGACGGAAGGGCACACCAGGAGUGGAGCCUGCGGCUUAAUUUGACUCAACGCACGAUAGCCGACUCGGUCCGAACACUUGAAGGAUUGACAGACUGAAAGCUCUUUCUUGAUUUAGUGGGUAGCGGUGCAUGGCC
rnacentral:rRNA from 1 species